AAAGAUGAAAAGAACUUUGAAAAGAGAGUUAAACAGUACGUGAAAUUGUUGAAAGGGAAACGAUUGAAGUCAGUCAUACCAACGGGAAAUCAACCUUUUGAGUUCGGUCUCGUGGGUUUUGAAGAGUUUCAAAGCCUUCGGAUUCGCGGGAUUGGGAUCUCUUGGCGUACUUUUUCGUACGGUUAGUCAACAUCGGUUUUGAAUGUCAUAAAAUGACUGGAGGAAUGUAGCUUCGAUCUCGUAUUGAAGUGUUAUAGCCUUUGGUAGAUGUGAUGUUUGAGACCGAGGAUUGCAACGGAUACCCUUCAGGGCUAUUCGUCUGAUCUCUGAUACGUUGCCUUGAUGUUGAAAGCUUGCUUAUGAUGUUAGGGUAUUACGGUCAAAAGGUUAGAACGAAUUACAUUCGUUAAGGAUGUUGACGUAAUGACUUUAAACGACCCGUCUU
rnacentral:rRNA from 1 species